AAAUAUAUAAUGGAGGUUGGUAGUCCUAUAAUUUUUUGGACAUUUAAGUUGGACCUUUAAUGCUGAAAAUAAAUAUGAAUUUCACCUCAUAGAGUAUAUUUUGACAUCAAUUUAAUCCUUAAUUUUGCUUGUUUCAGAUUUACACAACAAAAAACCAAACUGAUGUCCUAAAUCUAUAGAAGACCAACAUGAUGACAUCCCAUGUAUCUUUGGAUGACCAAUUUGAGUAUUUAGUUUGAAAACUAUUUGUAAUUGAACAAGACACAACUCUAUCAGUUGAUUACAAUCCUUCAACAAAACAGCACUUUUCUCUUAAGAUAAGAGCAUGUGAAAUUGUGAACUUCCUUUCCUUUUCAAUUAAUGCUGAUACGAGGAGUGUUUUGGUAGUGGUUUUUACUUUCUUAUACUUGAAUUCUAUAGCAGUCAGGCUCCAAGCCUAUAAUUGAUGAAUGUUUCUUUCUUGUUGCUAAUUGUUUCAUGUGUUCGCCAAUGUCUUCAAACUGCAACCAUGUAAAUGCAAAGACAAGUCAGCAACUGAUCCAUAAAUCAGAGGGAAGCAACUCAACAAAAUAUAUGUUAUAUGUUUUCUGAUCUGCAACAGUGAAUGAGACUUGACCACAAUAGGGAAACCCUAUGGAAUAAUUUAUCACCUUCCAUCUAGAAAACAAAAUAAAGUCUAAUGUCGAUGUUGCAUACUUUGUGUAUUUCUCUUCCAAGCAAGUUCCUUUUUAUCAGAUAUUGUAUGGUGCCUGCACCCUCCACCUUUUUAGUCCAUGUUUAUAAACUAAAGUUGGAAAUUCGUGUUGUCUUUAGUUCAACAGACAAGUUUGUUGCCUCGAUGCUGUUAAUAGAACCAGUUUCUCCACUUCAAGACAAAAGCUUCCAUUACAAUGCAUACUCCGCAAAUUUAGAUUUUUAUCAGCAACCUGCAAAAGAUACCAUUUUCAAACAACCAUGUGAGCCUCAAGUAAAAAUAUUCAUGAGUGAGUAGGAAACACAGAGUAAACUAUAUAAUCAUAGAUCUGAGAUUCAAAUCAAGAUGAUAUAAUUGCUAGCUCAUUUGGUGACAUCUAGGAACAAAAUUAUUCUACUUGUCUCCCUCAAUUUAUUUGCUAUAUAUGGAGCUGAUGGAAAAUACUAGGACUCAGACUUCAGAACAAGUUGUGCAUAUCAUCUCCUACUUUGGUAUCCCGCUAUUAUCUUCUCUAACAAGAGUAAAUGGAAAGAAGCGCAAAGAAGUCUCUGCACAUUCGGUGCAACAGUUUACCCUCUUCACCUCACCCACUUUUAUCACAAUUCCAGGAUCACUUGCAGAGAUUGAAAGACUCUGAAGCCACCAGAAUUUCUCUGUCAUCAUCUUCAAUAAGCCAAAAUCUAAUUGGCUUGCUUGAUUUGCAUGACUAUGCUGAUAAGUUGUUCCAGUUGCCCACUAUCCAACAAGCCUUUGCACAAGAAUGCAGUGACAAGUGUGUUGAUGUUCUGUUAGAAGGGUCAUUGGCACUCCUGGAUAUCUGUAGUACAGCCCAAGAUUGCCUCUUGCAAUCAAAGGAAAGCAUUCACAUGGUUCAUUCAGUUAUUCGAAGAAAGGGUGCUGACACUGAAUUCACAGUUGAGGGUGGAAAAUACUUGGCAUCUAGGAAGAAGAUGAAGAAGGCAAUUCGAAAGGCCUUAGGAAAUUUAAAAGGAAAGAAAAGCGAUUUAAUUGUUUCUUCCUCAAACAACGACAAUGAGGCUUUGUCUAUCCUUGGCAUGUUAAAAGAAGCAGAAGCUGUCACUGUGAGGUCUUUAGAGUCCUUGUUGCUGUUUGUCUCUCACUCCAAGGGACAAUCAAAGCAGAACAGAUGGUCAAUAAUAUCUAAGCUGAUGCAGCCUGAUAGAAUAAACUGUGACUCUCAAGAAGACACAAAUGAAUUUGUAAAGAUGGAUACAACUUUGCAAUCAGUCGUUAGUCACAAGCCUUUAUAUGUUGAGAAUUUUCACAGCCAUGUGGAAAAUUUGGAGAUAUGCAUUGAAGAUCUAGAAGUAGCUGUUGAACACCUUUCAAGGAAACUCAUUAAAGCAAGAGUAUCCCUUCUUAACAUAUUCAGCCACUAGUUAGAGAAAAAAAUCUAAAUGUUGUAUAUAUGCAGACACCCAAAUUCAAUUUUUGACCUACAGUUGUACAUAGAUAUGAUUAAAACUUACUAAAUACAAUAAUCAAAUGAUCAAAUUUCUUUCUUUUUCACUUGCUUUCUUUGUUCCUUUCUUUCCUGCUAGGUUGAUUGCUUUCUUUAUUUCUUUCUUAGCAAAUUCUAUGCCCAUGUGUAAAUUCUGUUUGCUUGAUUGAACGGGUUGAAGAAAGUGACUGCCACAGUCACCCUUACGAAGUUUCAUUCUUUGGAAAUUCUUACCUAGGUCUAAAUUGCUAUUGAAUGGACAGAAGAAAGUGAAAAAUGAAAUCUAGAACAAGGUUCAAAGUGAAAUUGUAUUGUUUUUCAUAUUUUAGUUGUACUAGAAUGUAUUAAGUUAUAUUGGUUCUAAAUUUUUCACAUCCUCAGUUGUCGCGUACACAACCAAACAUAUCUUAAGGAAAAAAUAAACCUUUUUUCAUUGUAAUCCUUAAUCAAGCCAAUGACUGAUAAGCCAAGUGGAAGGACUAUAGUAGAAUGAAGAGGAUAUAAUAAUAACUUAAUCAGCAACCCCUUCAUAUCAAUUAUUAAGCCCACAUGGGAUUCAAAGUCAGUUUGAAAUUGAAUCCAUAUAUAGUUCGCACUAGUGCAAAUAGGUUGAAGAGUAAACAAUAGUCAAAAUUAAGUGUAUGCACAUGUUCCUUUAUUUCAUGCGCUGAAAUUCAAUGAAGAACGUGAUUUUUGUCUUCCUGUAAUGAGGGAAAAGCCAAUUAGUUGUCAUUUGUCAGUUCCUUAUAUUAGUAUGAUUCUUUAUUAUUAGUUUCUUGUGUUCCGAGCAGUUGCUAUUCAGUACAAUAGUUCAUUUAUAACUGCAAGUGAUUCAUACGAUUCCCCUCAUGCAACUGAUGAUUUGCAUUUAAGGUUAUUCUAUUUGCAAAAGGCAAUAUUAUACCUGCAUUUAUUGCAGUGAAGAAAGGCCUGGCAAUUAGACAAUGCCACUCGUGAGUUUCAUGCAUUGAUAACACCAAUAUGGAUUACUACAAGCGUGUGCUAAGAAAAAAAAACAAGUCAUGAGUUGGAGUGUUCCUGUGCAAGAAACACUGCAUUAACAUUACUGAGAUCUCCGAUAAAUCUGAAUCUGAAUCAGUUAGCCCUUAUGGAUUUUUGUUGAUAUUUGAUUCCUUCUGUCUCCUGAACUUCCAAUAUAUAUUGAGCUAAUCUCAGUGGAAGGAAGGUAUAUCCAAAGACCCAAUUGUGUAGAGUCAAUCUCAAAGCCUUUCUCUUGUCUGAGAAAAUGGAAGUCACCCCUUUUAGCCCAAAAUCUCAUUCUCAUCAUCACCAAUCUCGCUCAAAGAGCUUGCCCUGUAAACCACACCCUCUUAUUCUACAAUGCAAUCAACACUUAGGAAGUUUAGAGGCUUCAGCUUCUGAUGCAACUUCCUCUUCAUCAUCAUUGUUCAGACAAAAAUUAACUGGUCUGCAGACUUUGCAUGAUUCUAUUGAAAAGCUGGUUCUACUUCCUCAUACUCAAGAAGUCCUAGUCCAAGAGCGUCAAGAGAAGUGGGUAGAUGAGCUUUUGGAUGGAUCUUUAAGGCUCCUAGAUGUAUGUACUGGUGCAAAGGAUGCUCUGCUUCACACAAAGGAAUGUGCACGAGAACUUCAAUCGAUUAUGAGAAGAAAGAGGGGAGGUGAAAUGGAGGUGGCAGCUGAGGUCAGGAAAUUCUUGGCCUCUAGGAAGGUAGUAAAGAAGGCAAUCCUCAAAGCAUUGGAGAGUUUGCAGGCAACAGUGAAGAAAGCAAAAUUUUCUCCAAGCAACAAGGACCACCGAACCACAACCUUGGCUAACUUGUUCAAAGAUGUGGAAGUAAUCACUCUUUCCAUAUUGGAGUCCCUGAUGAACUUCAUCUCGGGAUCAGCACAACCCAAACCAAGUAAAUGGUCUUUGGUUUCCAAACUAAUGAACAACAAAAAGGUCACUUCUACACAAGAAUCAGAUCAGAAUGAAUUUUCCAAUGUGGAUGCUGCAUUGCAAUCGUUUGUGUUUCACAUGACAAGAAAGUCUGACCAUAUCAAUAAUUUGCAGAACCAUUUAAAAGAUUUAGAGUCAGUCAUUCAAGACUUCGUGGAAGGACUUGAAGCUCUUUUUAAACGUUGUAUCAAAAUUAGAGUUUCUCUUCUCAACAUCCUCAAUCACUAGUUGUACAAAUCCGUGCCAAUGUUUUGUGAUUAUGUCAAUGAAAUUGGCUCCUAAUUUAGAUGAUAAUCUUUCUCUACCAUUUUUUUUGGUUUCAUAUGUUGUUUAUUUCCUCAGUAACUCUUUGUGCAUACUUUUUGCAAUUUGAUGCAUUUUCUCUAUCAAUUUGUAAAGCUAUUCCGUUGUGGCUGUAAACUUAGCCUCUGAAGCUUAUAUGGUUAUCACAUUUUUUAUUUUUACUGCAUCCUUUUGUACUGUUAGUCCCAUGGUUAAAUGACAUUGUAUCAUUGAUUUUGUUAAUAUCCUUCAAUAAAGUGCUAAAGGCUCAAACUUCUCAAAGCACUGUGGUUAAUAGUGAUUAUUGUUUAAUGGGUGAGAAAGCCAAAGAAACUUUAUAUCCCUAAUAUUUUCUUUCUUAUCCAAUUCCAAAUGCGCAUUCAAAAACUCUUUUCCAAUCAAAGAUUGAAGAAUACUGCAGCUGCAUAAAGCUGUAGAUAAUUUUAAAUGUCAAGUUGUUAAAUAUACAUUUUAAUUCAAAACUGUUAGAACAAAGGUGGUUGAAACCUUAAAUCCCGGGCAACAUAAUAAGCUCCACUUGGGAAAUAGAAUAUUCUGUAAAAAAAUGUUAAUGUAUUGAAGCAGAAGAAAUUACUACUAACCUCCACUUAUGGUUGUUCACGUGUCAAUGGAAGCAGAAGAAGAUUAAUUAACAGGUAUUGAGCUGGGGACAAUAAACAUUGCCACCAAGAAGUAGCCAAUAUAUUGCUAUAUCUGAAGAUGAAGGUUUCUCUUGUCGUGAAUCUGUCCUGUCCUGUUGUAGGUAGACAAUUUCAUAGACUGAAAAUCAAUUAUGUUAGGAAACAGCUCCUCUCAUCCUCCAGACAGAAGCUCCCAUUACAAUGCAUUCAUCACACAGCAUGAACUAGUGUAUUGUCAAGAUAUGCCACUUUGCAAGAAUCCAUGUGAUUCCCAACUCACAAGUAAAAAAUUGAGGGAUGAGUUGGAAGCAGAUGCAUAAUGGUUAAGAUGCUGAGAUCCAAAUCAAGAUCAUAUAAUUGCAUACUCAUUAGGUGACAUUGGAGGAAAAAACAAUUCCUCUUGUCUCCCUUAUUCUGUUUCUUCAUCUGCUAUAUAUAAUACAAAUGCCUACCACAACAACUCAGGCUUUGAAGCAAACUCUACACAUUACCUUCUAAGAAGAAAAAAU
rnacentral:lncRNA from 1 species